ACACCAAGACCAACACCAACACCAAGACCAACACCAACACCAACACCAAGACCAACACCAAGACCAACACCAACACCAACACCAACACCAACACCAGGAAAUUCUGCUGGCCUCUCAGCUGGGGUCAUUGACAGCAUCGUGGUCGGAGUCCUGGCCGGGGUAGCUCUGAUAGCUCCGGUGUACUUUCUACAUAUCUGAAACAUUGGACGGUCAGGGCCACUCUGACAACUUCCCUAACAAGAUGGAUGAAGCUGCAUAUUCUUCCCUGAAUUUCAAUGUCCAGGAAUCAAAGAGACCAACUUCAGCCUCCCCACACCCACCAGCCACAGAAACAGUUUAUUCAGAAAUAAAAAAGAAGUAAUGCAAC